CCUGUCUAAGUUUAAUCUCUGAAUUUCUUCCAGAAUUCACUUUUAUAUCUUUGCCCAUCCUUAUGUCACUCUUUAAGUCCUCCAUCUGUCUCUAACCCCCUCCCACCUUUUUCAGUCUCAGACUACGGUAAUCUCUACCUUCUACUCCAGAGACAUCUGCACCUCCUCCUGAAGAUACUUCUAUGAAUACCAUCACUACUUCAUGCCAGCCCAAAGAAGACCUACCUUCGGAAAGUACCUAUACCUCUAAUGGUACUAUAGUCCGAAAAAAGGAUUUACAAAUGUUCCAGGAGGCAUUGCUAGCCAUGAACUCCACUCCUGCUAAAUUACAGAAGUACUUACCACCUGCACCAGACCUUGACCUCUCUCCAGCAGUACCAGAAGGUCAUUUAAUGUCCUGGGCCUGCUAUACUGCCUCUGAGCCAGAGCAGAGUCUAUUAUUUUGAGUAGUUCUAUCCCUGUUAUACCUGGCAUCCUCUGACUUCGGCUUCACCUCGACCAUCCUUCUGCUUGUGUCCUUGCCUGAACUGCGUAUUGGUGCACCUUUCCUGCACAGAUUCACAGUCCAGGUGGCUUCUUACCUGGUCACCUUGAACUGUGUUUAUCUGCAAGGGUUGAGUGCACAGCUCUGUACGUUGGACUCCCACCUCAGGUAAGAUUCCUGACACCUUCCUACAAAGCCACUUACAGAAAUAGAAAUGUAAAUUAUCGAUAAACAUAAGCUUAUAUUUAUUGAUACAUACAAUACAUACACACAGACUGCUCAACACACACACACACACACAAACUGCUGAAUACACACACCCACACUGCAGUGAGGGGUGCAGGAUGUGUGUGUGGGGUGCAGUGUGUGUGUGAGGGUUGUGUCAUUGGCCACUUCCUCAGACCCUCUGUCCAUGUCACUGUCCUCUUCCCCAGGUCCUUUGUGUGUCUUUUUCUGUUCCCCCCUCUCCCCACUUGCGUGCCUUCUCACUUGCCUUCAUGUAGUGUGGCAGUAUGGACCAUGAUAGAGGAUCCUUUACCACAGUCCAUGCUGUCACUCUACAUGGAGUUACUGGCAGAAGGGGAGUGCUGUGCUGUGUUCCCUCCUGGGCUGGUGUUCUUUAAGUUAGUCAUGGUUGCACCGGCCCUGAAAGCAGUAUUGUAUUUUCUUUCAAUCAGAGACAUAGUAAUUAGGUUCUGGGUAAGGAUCGACCGACAUUGAUUUUUUUUUUUUAGAGCCAAUACUGAUAAUCUGUGAACUUUUCAGGCCGAUAGCUUACUGAUAUUCUGUACAUUUACCGUAUUUUAUUUAGUGGUAAAUGCACAAAAUAUACAUGCCAGUCAGAUUUUUUUUUUUAUGUUUUCAAGAAUAUUUAUGCGUGUGUAGUGGAUGCAGUGAGAGCAUUUUAAUAGUAAAUGCAAUGUGUGUGUGUGUUUGUGUAGUGGAUGCAGUGGAUGUAGUGGAUGCAGUGUGUUUGUGUGUAAAUAUGUGCUCCCCACCCGUUACCUGUCUCUUAGUGCCCCCCACCCCCACCCCAGUGUUCCUUUUUACUUCCCUCUCCUGUACCUUAGUGUCCUCCUUUAAUGUUCCUUUCUCCCCCCUAAUGUUCUUCACAUCCCCCUUUUCGGUCCCAUAGUGUUCCUUAACACCCCCCUUGCCUCCCCCCAUCCGUGCCCCUCUCUCUUCUCCUUGGCCCCCGCUGUGUCUCCUGGUAGCGUGGCCGAGCGGAGUAGUGCGCACCGCAGUACAGGAGAUUCAGUCUCCUGUACCCGGCCGGACUGACAGGAAGUGCUCUCUCAGUGAGCACUUCCUUUCAAUCCGGCCGGGAUCAGGAAACAUAAGUCCCUGUACCCCGGUGUGCACUGCUCCGCUCGGCCAUGCUACACAGAGCGGGAACACAAAACAGACAAUAGAAUAAGGGUGCGCCUGAAAUAUAUCAUAAAACGUAUAAAAUAUAUUAAAAUAUUAAAAUAUUAAUAUUUAUAAAUUAUUAAAAUAAAAUAAAUAAUUAUCAAUAGUCCAAAAAAACUUAUCAAAAUCCGUAAUGUUAGGUCCCACGUGUGAAAAAGGGAUUCUUGGGAUGUAAAAUGGAAUCAAGUCUUCACGGCUAAAUGCUUGAAAUUCAGUGGAGCAUAUGUAGAGAGAGGAAAGAUAAAAACAGAACUCCAAUGGCACAGUAUAUAGAUGAAUAAAAUUGUUUAAAAUAAUAAAAAUGGUCUUACUCACACUUUUCAGAGCUAAAAUCCAGCUCUGAUAUUGCGCACGUGAAGUGGAAUAAUCCCCACUCAAGGAUAUGUGGAAUAGAAUUGGCGAAUAUCUGGCACAAGUUCGGCGUCCAAAUUGGUAUUCGUAGACCCAGAAGAAGAGGAUAAAAUAUAGUGCUCUCUGUAUUAUAAUUAAAAGUUUAAAAGAGUAUAAAAUAUACUACUCACAUUAUUUAGAGCAGGCUUGUACUGCUCGGUGUAAGCACUUGGGUGGUAUAAUCCCCACCUGUGGAUUCUUUGAGCUUCUUGUAGAAUAUGCAAUAUAUGUAUGGUCAGGUGAAAAGAAAGAAAAUGGCAAUAAAGUAUUUUAUGCCAAAAUAAUUUCUUUAUUAUAAAGUAGUAAAAACAAUAUCUAAACGCGUUUCGCCUCAAGGGCUUCUUCAAGUGGAUAAUAAUCACUUAUCACGAGGGGAUUAGAGGGGAUUCCCCUUUGAGGAGUGCAGCCUUCCUAUUAUCUUCUUUUGUGGCAAUUUAGCGCUGAUUUUCUCUUCCUAUUUUCUCCAUGCUACACAGAGUGCCUGGCAGGAGGGAGCGCUAGUUCUGGGUGCUUAUUACUUGAGCUAUUUACCAAAAUAAAUAUUCAUGGACAUCCAUCAAUAAGAAAGAUUGAAAAAAAUUGUACCAUUAACUGGUCUAACCAAUCGUGGAGUGAAGAAAAUAUAUAUAAUCUUCAAGUUCAAUAGAAAUUAGGCACAAAAUUGAUUGAACAGAGCUCCACUGAGAUGUUAGUUCAGAUUUUUUAUAUAUGCUUUAAUUUUUCUUUAAUAUAUUUAUGAUUUAUAACAUUUAAUUGCCAUUUUGUAACAAAAUUGAUGUGACCAAUACCUUUUGUAAUAUUAUAUAUUACGUAGUUCAGCAUAUAAAAGUAAACUGAAUGAAAUUUGUGUAAAAUCCAUAUUGUUUCUUCCAAUAUUACAGUCACUUCGGAUCUAAGAAAUACUGGCAUAUGAAAACCGUAGACAUAUCAUAAUAAAAAAAGUAUUUAUAUUCAAAAAGCAUUCUUGAUAUUUUGUACCACAGUGAUCUGUGACAUUUGGCAUAGAGAUCAAUGGGUAUAGACUAGUGAUUCUCAAACCAAUCUUUAGGAACUAGCUGCAGAUCAGAUUUUACCAUUGUUUCCAAUCAAAUCUUGUUGGAUAAUUCCUAUACUCUAGUCUAUUGCUGUAAACAUUAAUAUAGACUACAUAUCUGGCAAAUUUACCCUCCCUCUAUUUGAUAAAUAAUAUACCUUGUCCAUUUACGUGAAAUCAAACAUAUGAAACAUACAUAUAUCAAAUGAGCAUAUAACAAUACGACUACUAAUAAAAACAAAAAUACACCAACAUAGUCUGCAGUGCUGUACCAUGAGUAGAAUAAUCUAAUCUAACAGGAUAUGUUUUACUUACAGGGAUAAUAUGUGGUGAGUGUUUUGCUCAGAUGAACUUUCAAUCUAAACAACCUAUAUUGAACUGUGAAUUACAUAUUGUGAUAAACAUUAUGUAGGAAGAAUGAAGAACAGAUUGACCUCUAUAGAAAAAAAGUGUGCAAGUAUGCUUGACAUAUGCUAAGCCUCUUAUUCAAAGACUAACUACCCUCAACUCUACAAACCUCCCUAAUUGUGGUCUAAAGGAGCAUUAUUGUGUCUGGCAGGGCAGCCUGUCACUACAUAAUAGGAAAAACCAGCACCAAGUGGAGAACAUGCUUUAGACCAGGUAUUUUUUUACAGGCAAAAUUGAAACCCAUAAAUAGAAUUCUAAGUGCCAGUAAAGAAGUAUAUAAAUAUAUAUAUGUUGUUUUUUCUUCAUCUUAAUUAAACAGUAAAACAUAUGACCUUUGAAGCUACACCAUCAAGACUGGUGGGGUCUUGCUCAUCCUUGCUAUAAUUAUCUAGGGGAAUCUUCCUUCCACCACUUUUGCACAUCUAUGUGCAUAGAAAUGGGAAGUGCAUGACUCUAUAACAUCAAUUUGGUGAAGGUACACUAUAAAAUAUUAAAUAGAUGGUAUCUGGUACCUAGUAGGUUAGCAAUGAUGAUGACUGUAUUGAUAGAUGUUGGAGAUGUGAAAUAGAU